AUUGAACGCUGGCGGCAUGCCUUACACAUGCAAGUCGAACGGCAGCACGGGGGCAACCCUGGUGGCGAGUGGCGAACGGGUGAGUAAUGCAUCGGAACGUGCCCCGUAGCGGGGGAUAACCAGUCGAAAGACUGGCUAAUACCGCAUACGCUCCACGGAGGAAAGCAGGGGAUCGCAAGACCUUGCACUAUGGGAGCGGCCGAUGCCCGAUUAGCUAGUUGGUGAGGUAAAGGCUCACCAAGGCGACGAUCGGUAGCUGGUUUGAGAGAACGACCAGCCACACUGGGACUGAGACACGGCCCAGACUCCUACGGGAGGCAGCAGUGGGGAAUUUUGGACAAUGGGCGCAAGCCUGAUCCAGCCAUGCCGCGUGGAGGAUGAAGGUCUUCGGAUUGUAAACUCCUGUUGCCCGGGACGAAUGGCUCCGACCUAACACGUCGGAGUGUGACGGUACCGGGUGAGG
rnacentral:rRNA from 1 species